rnacentral:rRNA from 1 species
CCCUUAGAUGUUCUGGGCCGCACGCGCGCUACACUGAUGCAUUCAACGAGUUUCUUCCUGGUCCGAGAGGAAUGGGUAACCUUUUGAAAGUGCAUCGUGAUGGGGAUAGACUAUUGCAAUUAUUGGUCUUCAACGAGGAAUUCCUAGUAGACGUAGUUCAUCAGACUGCAUCGAUUACGUCCCUGCCCUUUGUACACACCGCCCGUCGCUCCUACCGAUUGAAUGCUCAGGUGAGCCAUUCGGACUUUCAUCAUGCUGGUUUCCAGUUUUGAUGAAGGAAAGUCUUGCGAACCUUAUCAUUUAGAGGAAGGUGAAGUCGUAACA